ACAAAAUGUGCUUUAACCGUCAAGUCAGUCAGCGCAAAAUCACAAAUGGGUGAUGAGGAGAUGAGAUGGAGCUCACGUUUAAAGUUAAAUGUAAUUACCAGACUAGACCACGACUAGUUGUAAAAUCAUUAGUAUGCAAUUUCUCGACUACAAUAUUUCUUACAGUGGUUGCUUGUUUUGUAAACAGCUGUUUACGCGAUAGAUAAGAAAAACACACGCAUAGUACAUACAUACAUACAUAUAUACAAACAUAUUUAUGCAUAUUCACAAGCAACUGAACACUCAGUGACAUGUGGAUGGUGAAAUUCUUGCGGUACAUUAUGUGUGGUGAAAUGUGGGAGUCAAAAUGGGUGUAACAAAUCACAAAUGGAGCACUCCCAUUUACGUUUUUGAAAUAGAAGAAGAGAAGCAAAUAUUGCGUCAGAGGAAAGCAGAGUGGCUUAGUAGACCAUAGGCCAUGAAAAUGAACCUACCCGCAUUUUAUGUUAUUAGAAAAGUGUGAGAAGUUGGCAACUAGUUACUUGGACGACCCGCUUGAAUUUUGUACGUUAAAAAUGGGUUUGUAUGAAAAUUUUCUCAGUUGUCUCGUUUGAUGCGGGUUAUGGGCUGGUGACAUCAUUGGGCCGUAUUUCUUCGAAGAUGAUGCGAAUCGUAACGCAAGAGCUUGAAUU